CAUCGAUGGGGAUGCGUUCCAUUAGCUUGUUGGCGGGGUAACGGCCCACCAAGGCAUCGAUGGAUAGGGGUUCUGAGAGGAAGGUCCCCCACAUUGGAACUGAGACACGGUCCAAACUCCUACGGGAGGCAGCAGUGAGGAAUAUUGGUCAAUGGGCGCUAGCCUGAACCAGCCAAGUAGCGUGAAGGAUGACUGCCCUAUGGGUUGUAAACUUCUUUUAUAUGGGAAUAAAGUGCAGUAUGUAUACUGCUUUGCAUGUACCUUAUGAAUAAGGAUCGGCUAACUCCGUGCCAGCAGCCGCGGUAAUACGGAGGAUCCGAGCGUUAUCCGGAUUUAUUGGGUUUAAAGGGAGCGUAGGCGGGUUGUUAAGUCAGUUGUGAAAGUUUGCGGCUCAACCGUAAAAUUGCAGUUGAUACUGGCAUCCUUGAGUACAGUAGAGGUAGGCGGAAUUCGUGGUGUAGCGGUGAAAUGCUUAGAUAUCACGAAGAACUCCGAUUGCGAAGGCAGCCUGCUGGACUGUAACUGACGCUGAUGCUCGAAAGUGUGGGUAUCAAACAGGAUUAGAUACCCUGGUAGUCCACACAGUAAACGAUGAAUACUCGCUGUUUGCGAUAUACAGUAAGCGGC
rnacentral:rRNA from 1 species